AGUAAUAAUGAAUGAAUGCACUGUUUAUUGACUAUUUGCAAAUUGUUUUUGUUAUCUCAGAUUGAAAUUUUGGAGGUAUCAAUUCCUUGAGAUGGGAGGAGAACGGAAGGAAAACAAACAACUACCUUUUCCUUUCCUGUUGUUGCUGAUGUGCACUUUCCCUGUCUUCCACGUCAUGACUCAGGAAAUGAGGGGGUGCAUCUCAGAGGGCACCCUGCCUGUGUUCUCUGUCAUUGCCUGUGAGCCACCGACUGAUACCAUCAUUUUAAUCACUCAAGAAGCCUUCCUUUCAGGAAUGUAUAUUGCUUCUUGGCCCCUGCCUUCUCCCUGGAAAUCCUGGGCAAAGAGCCAGGGAAAAAACGUGAGUGCUCAGGCCGAAAUCAGUGGGCUGGAAUUGUUUCUUCACUUUGGGUGACUCCACUGUUACUCAAGGAAUGAACUGAUUGGCACCAAGCAAGAAGAACAGCACAUCUCUUUGGACUCAUUCCCUUAUUUAUAAGCCAUAACCUUAGGGACAAUAAGCUAGAGACCCUGCCAGCAUCCUUGAGCCAGGAUCUCAUCUGUUGUCACAGUAGCCAUGUUUCCCUGGCAUCCGAGAGCCCAAGGAUGCAAAUAAGGCCUGGGCCAAACUAAGCUCUGACAAUUAAUGUUAUUCCAAAGAGGCAGCAGCGAGGGUAGGAAGUUCUGGUCCCCUCAUCUUACUUCAAGUUUCACAGCCAAGAGUGAUGAUAGCUUUAGUCAGUAAGUACAGUCAAGGAGCCUAUGAGACAGAACUUGUCACAAAGACAGCUGAUGUUUCGCAUGGACCUUAACAGAGUAACUGGUGUCUCUUCAGGAAUGGGGCACAAUCCAGAGGUUACUAACCACGGGUGAGUAACAGGUGAUCCACAACAAUCUCAUCUGACUCAUAGUAGAGAUUGCUGGCAUCUACCCAGCAUUCAUUCCCCCUCUUCCUAAGAGAAACUCAAUUCGUUGUAAUCAGCAACAUAUUCCCAACAGGAAAAUCACAUUUCAAGCCUUCCUUUAGAUAGGUGACUACAUUUUGGCCAGUGAGAUAGGAGUGAAAGUUGUCAGAUGGGCUCCUCCUGACAACUCCUUUAGAAGGGGCUGACCCAGCUGUCAGCCAUUUGCCCUGGUGUGUCCUCCUCUCUACUGACUACAAUAUAGGUGUGAUGGCUAGAGUAGCAGCUGCUAUCUUGGGACAAGGGGAGACCUUGGGGUAAACAGAACCUAGGAUAGUAAAGCAGAAAGAUAGAAGAGCCUGGGCUGAUGAUGAUGUGGCAGAACUGCCAAACAAGCUCUGGACUGCUAAUCUCUGGACUUAACUUUCAGGAAACAAAAUUAAACUCUAUCUGGCUCAAGCCACUCUUACUUUAUGGACCAAGAGCAUUGGCAGCACUUGGGAGCUUGUUAGAAAGGCAGCUUCUCAGGCCCCUUCCCAGGCCAAAUGAGUGACGAUCGGCUUUGUAGCAAGAUCCACAGGUGAUUUGCAUGCACAGUAAAGUUUGGGAAGCACUGCUCCAGAUGUAGUUAGUUUCUCUGUUUAUGAAAUUAUUAACUGAUAUAUCCUGGGAAAUAAUGAAUUCUAUUUGCCGGUACUAAAACAUGGUAAGAAUGAUAUAACCAUAGGAUAAAACAACUAAAAUGCCCUGAGUUAUUUGGAUACAAAGAAAGAAAGCAUUCAUGUCAAUUAGGUAAUUGAUGUUCCAGCCACUAUACCUGGCACCAGAGAAGUAAAGAUAUCCCUGCUCUAGACUCCAUGGUCUAACAAGGGAGACAUAUAGAUACUGUGUAUUGUGUUGCAUUGCAUUAUAAGAACCGUUUGGAUGCAAUAAGAGCUAUGCCCAGGUGUUCCGGGAAAACAGAUGAGGGGUCUAAGCCUUCCCUCCUGGGCUAGGGAGUAAGUUAGAGAAAACUUCUUGGAAGAGAUGUCACCUGAGUAGUUAAGAAUUAUCUUGCUUCUUCCCCCAGUUUCAGGGAUCAGAGGCCAUCCUUUGUGGGCUUAAGUCAGCCUGCUGGCCUCCCCAGCUGCUCCUUAAAUUCUAAGAGUUGGCAUAAAAGACACAGGUUACAACACGAAUGUCUUCAUCCUACACGAUCUUUACUUUCUCUGUUCACAAUGUGGGCUCCUUGGCUCCAUUUUACAUAUACAGGAAAUUUGGACACCGAAUAGAGAGUGAAUUUCAAAGGAUUCAGAGAAGGCAAACCCAUAUGAGUGUUUAGAGUUCAUUGAUCACUAGUAUCUUCUUAAUUUUGUGAACACCGGGUUCUGAAUUCCUUCAUUGACUAGCUAUUUCUCUUCAUGUCUUCUACAAACAUUCUGAAGUUGGAAAUCCUUUUUAUUGGUGUUUAGAAUAAGUCAAUGUUUUUCCUCUCUUUAUAUUUCUACUUGAUAUUCCUCAGUUUUCUGUAUUAUUAAAAAUGAAAUCAC
rnacentral:lncRNA from 10 species